CUAAUCAACCAAUUCAACGUUGUGCUUGAAAAAAGUGGUAAUUAUUCCAUGAUAGUAAAGAAACAGGAAGUUUGGGAGACAAUUACCAAGAAAUUCAAUGUCAUCCCUUCGCUGAGAAAAAAAAAAAUUACUACAGCUGAAGAGAGCCUGGGGAUACAUCAGAAAUAAGUGGAAUAUGCAACAUACACUAAGAAGUUUGCAACUGGAGGUGGUCCUCCACUUUCACCACCCAAAUUAAGUCCUUUGUUGGAGGCAACAGCAAACUUUAUUUCUGAGGAACUUGAAUGGGCAGAGUUCCAGUACGACAGUUCCUGUCGUGAUGUGCCUCUGUCAACAAAUCCACCAUUACCUGAACCACCCAAACCACCGUCACCUCAGCCACCCAAAUCACCGUCACCUCAGCCUUCACAUCCAUCGUCACCUUUACUGGUCUUACAUGAAGAAGAUUAUGAGUGGAUAGAAGAUGGCCCUCCCCCCCCAAGCAGUGCCACUGCCACCACCAUCUGCAACGACUACAAGGGGUAGCUGCAGUGCAGAACCAGCUAACCCAGGUCCUUCUCAGAAAGCAGAUUGUGGGCAGCAAGACUAUCCCCAAUACGUCUGCCAAUAGAAAGAGAAAGCGGGUGCAAGAGAGAUAUAGUUUGUUUAACUCGAUUAGAAAAGAAAACUCCAAUUUGAAGAAAAGAUCCCUUCAAAUAAUGAAGGAAAAGCAUGCUAAAGAACUGGAAGUUCUAGAUAGUUUCUAAAAUAUGUGCACUGUUAAUCAGUUUUUCUAGACUCAUCACUGACUAUGAUCACAUUUUCAAAAAGCAAAUAAAACACACACACACACACACACACACACACCCGGUAGC